rfam:Papilio machaon contig16427, whole genome shotgun sequence.
GCGUCGGUGGCUCAGGGGUUAAGCACUUGACUUGCAAUCAACAGGUCAUGGGUUCGAAUCCCGCCAUAUGCC